GAUGAACGCUGGCGGCGUGCCUAAUACAUGCAAGUCGAGCGAACAGAUAAGGAGCUUGCUCCUUUGACGUUAGCGGCGGACGGGUGAGUAACACGUGGGUAACCUACCUAUAAGACUGGGAUAACUUCGGGAAACCGGAGCUAAUACCGGAUAACAUUUGGAACCGCAUGGUUCUAAAGUGAAAGAUGGUUUUGCUAUCACUUAUAGAUGGACCCGCGCCGUAUUAGCUAGUUGGUAAGGUAACGGCUUACCAAGGCAACGAUACGUAGCCGACCUGAGAGGGUGAUCGGCCACACUGGAACUAAGACACGGUCCAGACUCCUACGGGAGGCAGCAGUAGGGAAUCUUCCGCAAUGGGCGAAAGCCUGACGGAGCAACGCCGCGUGAGUGAUGAAGGGUUUCGGCUCGUAAAACUCUGUGAUUAGGGAAGAACAAAUGUGUAAGUAACUGUGCACGUCUUGACGGUACCUAAUCAGAAAGCCACGGCUAACUACGUG
rnacentral:rRNA from 1 species